AGAGUUUGAUCCUGGCUCAGAGCGAACGUUAGCGGCGGGCCUAACACAUGCAAGUCGAGCGAGAAAGUGGCUUCGGCCAUCAGUAAAGCGGCGGACGGGUGAGUAACACGUAGGUAAUCUUCCUUCGAGCGGGGGACAACGUUCCGAAAGGGACGCUAAUACCGCAUACGUUCUCCGAGACUCCGGUCUUGGAGAGGAAAGCUAGGUAGCAAUAUCCGGCACUCGAUGAGGAGCCUGCGUCGCAUCAGCUAGUUGGUGGGGUAACGGCCUACCAAGGCGAAGACGCGUAGCUGGUCUGAGAGGAUGAUCAGCCACACUGGGACUGAGACACGGCCCAGACUCCUACGGGAGGCAGCAGUGGGGAAUAUUGGACAAUGGGCGCAAGCCUGAUCCAGCCACGCCGCGUGAGUGAUGAAGGCCUUCGGGUCGUAAAGCUCUGUGGGGAGGGACGAACCGCUGGGUAUUAAUACCAUCCAGCAUGACGGUACCUCCUUAGCAAGCACCGGCUAACUUCGUGCCAGCAGCCGCGGUAAUACGAAGGGUGCAAACGCUGCUCGGAAUUAUUGGGCGUAAAGCGCACGUAGGCGGCUUGGCAAGUCGGAUGUGAAAUCCCUCGGCUCAACCAAGGAAGUGCAUCCGAAACUGCUGAGCUUGAGUACUUAAGAGGAUCGCGGAAUUCCCGGUGUAGAGGUGAAAUUCGUAGAUAUCGGGAGGAACACCAGUGGCGAAGGCGGCGAUCUGGGAAGAUACUGACGCUGAGGUGCGAAAGCGUGGGGAGCAAAUAGGAUUAGAUACCCUGGUAGUCC
rnacentral:rRNA from 1 species